rnacentral:rRNA from 1 species
UACGAAGGGUGCAAGCGUUAAUCGGAAUUACUGGGCGUAAAGGGUGCGUAGGCGGUUCGUUAAGUCUGUCGUGAAAUCCCCGGGCUCAACCUGGGAAUGGCGAUGGAUACUGGCGAGCUAGAGUGUGUCAGAGGAUGGUGGAAUUCCCGGUGUAGCGGUGAAAUGCGUAGAUAUCGGGAGGAACAUCAGUGGCGAAGGCGGCCAUCUGGGACAACACUGACGCUGAAGCACGAAAGCGUGGGGAGCAAACAGG